GACGAACGCUGGCGGCGUGCUUAACACAUGCAAGUCGAACGGAAAGGCCCUGCUUUUGUGGGGUGCUCGAGUGGCGAACGGGUGAGUAACACGUGAGUAACCUGCCCUUGACUUUGGGAUAACUUCAGGAAACUGGGGCUAAUACCGGAUAGGAGCUCCUGCUGCAUGGUGGGGGUUGGAAAGUUUCGGCGGUUGGGGAUGGACUCGCGGCUUAUCAGCUUGUUGGUGGGGUAGUGGCUUACCAAGGCUUUGACGGGUAGCCGGCCUGAGAGGGUGACCGGCCACAUGGGGACUGAGAUACGGCCCAGACUCCUACGGGAGGCAGCGGUGGGGAAUAUGGCACAAUGGGCGGAAGCCUGAUGCAGCAACGCCGCGGGCGGGAUGACGGCCUUCGGUUUGUAAACCGCUUUCGCCUGUGACGAAGCGUGAGUGACGGUAAUGGGUAAAGAAGCACCGGCUAACUACGUG
rnacentral:rRNA from 1 species